rnacentral:rRNA from 1 species
GAUGAACGCUGGCGGCGUGCCUAAUACAUGCAAGUCGAGCGAACAGACGAGGAGCUUGCUCCUCUGACGUUAGCGGCGGACGGGUGAGUAACACGUGGAUAACCUACCUAUAAGACUGGGAUAACUUCGGGAAACCGGAGCUAAUACCGGAUAAUAUAUUGAACCGCAUGGUUCAAUAGUGAAAGACGGUUUUGCUGUCACUUAUAGAUGGAUCCGCGCCGCAUUAGCUAGUUGGUAAGGUAACGGCUUACCAAGGCAACGAUGCGUAGCCGACCUGAGAGGGUGAUCGGCCACACUGGAACUGAGACACGGUCCAGACUCCUACGGGAGGCAGCAGUAGGGAAUCUUCCGCAAUGGGCGAAAGCUCGACGGAGCAACGCCGCGUGAGUGAUGAAGGUCUUCGGAUCGUAAAACUCUGUUAUUAGGGAAGAACAAAUGUGUAAGUAACUAUGCAUGUCUUGACGGUACCAAAUCAGAAAGCCACGGCUAACUACGUG